GGGAGGAAUACCGUCCUCGCCGGGGGCUUU
rnacentral:sRNA from 1 species